rnacentral:rRNA from 1 species
UACGUAGGGGGCAAGCGUUGUCCGGAAUUAUUGGGCGUAAAGAGCGUGUAGGCGGCCAGAUAAGUCCGCUGUGAAAUCUCGAGGCUCAACUUCGAGCUGUCGGUGGAAACUAUCUUGCUAGAGUCCGGAAGAGGAGAAUGGAAUUCCUGGUGUAGCGGUGAAAUGCGCAGAUAUCAGGAAGAACACCCGUGGCGAAGGCGGUUCUCUGGGACGGUACUGACGCUGAGACGCGAAAGCGUGGGGAGCGAACAGG